UACGGGGGGGCAAGCGUUGUUCGGAAUUACUGGGCGUAAAGGCUCGUAGGCGGCCAACUAAGUCAGACGUGAAAUCCCUCGGCUUAACCGGGGAACUGCAUCUGAUACUGGAUGGCUUGAGAUUGGGAGAGGGAUGCGGAAUUCCAGGUGUAGCGGUGAAAUGCGUAGAGAUCCGGAAGAACACCGGUGGCGAAGGCGGCCUGCUGGGCAGAGCUGACACUGAGGCGCGACAGCGUGGGGAGCAACAGG
rnacentral:rRNA from 1 species